UUUUUUUUUUUUUUAGGGUCACCCCCGCAGCAUAUGGAGGUUCCCAGGCUAGGGGUCUAAUCGGAGCUGGAGCCAUCCCCCUACACCACAGCUACAGCAAUGUGGGAUCCGAGCUGUGUCUGUGACCUACUCCACAGCUCACGGCAAUGCCAGAUCUUUAACCCACUGAGCGAGGUCAAGGAUGAAACCCACGUCUUCAUGGAUACUAGUUGGGUUUGUUAACCACUGAGCACAAUGAGAACUCUGACCAACUCAUUUUGAACCUGGCAAAUAAAGGAAAAGAAUGAGCAUUUGUCAUGCUUUUCUAUAACAAGCCAUAUUUCAGAGUAGUUGAGGCCUUGAUACAGAACAGUUCUGCUUUAUAGAAGCUAAUAAUCGAGAAAAAUACUAGAUUUAGAAGAUUACCAUUCUGCAGCUCUGAAUGAAUGAAUGGGAUCUCAGCAAUAUCAUCAAUGGCUGCUGGGAUUACCAGAAGCCACUCACAUCCUUCAGAAGUUUAGGACGGGGAAACAAGUCAUCCAGUAUUGACUCAAACGUAACACAAACAGCAAAGAAUGUAGUCAAAGUUAUUUUUACCCUUCAGACUCUCUUCUUUCCAAUAAAUUAAAGAAACUACAAGUCCUUCAGGAACAUCAGUACAUAAACUUUCUUUGGGGAAAAAACUGCCACCUGUCAAAGGAGCCAGAGGCACCUGUAAAUUAGUUCUUAGGUUCACAACUCUACUUACAAGCCUCCCCUAUAUAAAGUCUUACACGUCUGUAUUCCCUAAAAACUAAAAGUAGGAGUCACUCUGCCCUUUUUUCUUCCAGAUAAUUGAGUUAAAGAAUUCAAAGAAAAUUCCCUACAGAAGAAAAACACAUUUGGAUUUAAUUCUACUAUUGAGUCCUUACUGAUUUCUUUUAAAUGAAAUGAAAUGCAAGCUCUGAGUACAGUAAUUUAACCACUAUUUUGACCAUUUCUCUUCUACCUAAUUAGCAAAACUGAAUCAUUAAGUAAUCCAAUUAAAAAUGAUGAGACAGGUAAAUGACUUUCUGCAUCUUACAAUCAUCAGUACUUGACCUUAAAAAAGCAGCACAACCUCAAAUGGAAUUUGAUCAAGAGGGCUCCAAGAAUAAUAUAUAGGCAGAUACAUUAGGAGAAAUUAGUCGAGGGCCUGACAGGUGAGGAUGCAUGCCUUAUAAGCAAAUGACUAUGUUAGCAAAUUAUUCAUGGCAUAGCACAUCCUCUAUCACCAACCUUGAGAAGAGAAAUCAGCUCUGUCCCUGAAGAGAAUGAUGGAUCCUCCGUACGUAAAGAAAACUAUCCAUGCCUCUACAUGAGUUCAAACAGGGAUGAGAUGAAGCCAGAGCCUGGAUUUUCUCAGGGUAUCAUUCAGGGAAUCAUCUUUCUGUAACCAUGAGAUGAAGAUACAGCUCCCAUCUCAUCACACAGCACUGAACUCUGGGUCAAGAGACUAGAGCUUCACAGCUUUGAUGCUGAACAAAAGAAGCCAGGCUGAGAGAUCCCUAUGAAGAGUUCAAGAACCAGCAAACUAAUAUCAGGUGGAAAAAAAUCGAAACAGUGGUUACCUAAGAUGUGUGGGGAGUUGACUAAGAGAGGGCCUGAAGGAACUUUCUAGGAGAUGGAAUUAUGAAAGGGGUAUAAGUUACACAGGUAUAUCCAUUUGUCAAAACUAUAUAGAUAGGAAUAGUGCUUUCCAGUGUACGUAAACUUUUAAAAACUAUAAAAACCAUCAUUAUUAUAAUGACAUGGGGGGGGGUAAGUGUUGUUGAAGGUAUGGAUGAUGUAAGGUGGCAGAAUAUUGAUAAGUGCUGAGGUUGGGUGAUGGGUACAUGGGGAUUUACGACACUAUUCUGUUUACAUGUUAGGAACUUUCCAUGUUAACGGUCUUUUUAAAACACUAGAAAAUUUAAUACCUUCUCCACUAUGUAGUAGCUACUGGGUCUCUGGGAAAAUCUCAACCUUUCUGAACUCAUUUUAUUCAUCUGCAAGCUGGAGCUGCACACCUCACUCAAACAACCCUGGGUUAUUGCUAAGUAUCAAGUGAGACAAUGGAUAGAAAAGUAACUACUAAACUGUGACAUAAAAUUAAAUAUAGAAAAUUAAUAAUAAUGAAGAUUUGCAAUUACUACUAGACCACAUUCCAUCCUGGAAUGUUUCAAUGGAUCAUUAAUUUAUUCCUUCAACAAACACAUGAGAUGUAUCUACUCGUUUUUCAAUAAUUUCUGCCUGAUGAAGUUCCUGCCCUGGCUCAGUGGGUUAAGACUCAGACUGCAGUGGCUUGGGUCGCUGUGGAGGCACAGGUUUGAUCAUCAGCCCAGCACAGUCCGUUAAAGGAUCUGGCAUUGCUGCAGCUGAGGUAUAAGUCCCAGCUGUGGCUCAGAUUCAGUCUCUAGCCUAGGAACUUCUACAUGCUGAGGGUGCAGCCAUUAAAAAAAAAAAAUUCUGCCGGAAAAAAAAAAAUAACAAGAGUUGAUAAGUCAAAAGUAUGGAUAACACUACUUGCUAUUUAUCUUUGGUUAUAAAAUAUAGUAUAUCAUUUAUUUUACAUAAUAAUGUAAAAAUUUAGGCUCUUAGAAAGUUUGAGUGUCUUGGGCACACAUAAAACUUGACGGCUGAGAGGAUAUGCCAGAAGGAAGAUGGUUUAGAGUUUUAAAUGAUGUAGAGAAUUCACAUGUUCAAAACUGAGAAUCAACCCUUCUAAAAUCCACUGAAGCUUGACCAACCAAAACAAUUAGUUCAUAUAAAAUCACAUUAGUGAUAAGAAACAUUCUUUUUUUUUUAAUUUUUGGCUUUUUUUUUUGCCUUUUCUAGGGCUGCUCCUGGGGCAUAUGGAGGUUCCCAGGCUAGGGGGUCUAAUCGGAGCUGUUGCCUCCAGCCUAUGCCAUAGCUGCAGUAAUGCCAGAUCUGAGCCGCGUCUGCAACCUACACCUCAGUUCACAGCAAGGCCGGAUCCUUAACCCACUGAGCAAGGCCAGGGAUCGAAUCCAUAACCUCAUGGUUCCCAGUCAGAUUCGUUUCCAGUGCGCAAUGGGAACUCCAAGAAACAUUCUUUUUAAAAAUUAAACUAUAGAUGAUCUAUAAUGUUGUGCCAAUUUCUGCUAUACAGCAAAGUGACCCAGUAAUACAUAUAAAUACACUCCCUUUCUUAUAUUAUCUUUCCUCAUGAUCUAUCUGAAGAGACUGGAUAUAGUUCCCUAUGC
rnacentral:lncRNA from 1 species